AGAGUUUGAUCAUGGCUCAGGACGAACGCUGGCGGCGUGCUUAACACAUGCAAGUUCGAACGAUGAACCGCUUUCGGGCGGGGAUUAGUGGCGAACGGGUGAGUAACACGUGGGCAAUCUGCCCUGCACUCUGGGACAAGCCCUGGAAACGGGGUCUAAUACCGGAUAUGACCGUCUGCCGCAUGGUGGAUGGUGUAAAGCUCCGGCGGUGCAGGAUGAGCCCGCGGCCUAUCAGCUUGUUGGUGAGGUAGUGGCUCACCAAGGCGACGACGGGUAGCCGGCCUGAGAGGGCGACCGGCCACACUGGGACUGAGACACGGCCCAGACUCCUACGGGAGGCAGCAGUGGGGAAUAUUGCACAAUGGGCGAAAGCCUGAUGCAGCGACGCCGCGUGAGGGAUGACGGCCUUCGGGUUGUAAACCUCUUUCAGCAGGGAAGAAGCGAAAGUGACGGUACCUGCAGAAGAAGCGCCGGCUAACUACGUGCCAGCAGCCGCGGUAAUACGUAGGGCGCAAGCGUUGUCCGGAAUUAUUGGGCGUAAAGAGCUCGUAGGCGGCUUGUCACGUCGGUUGUGAAAGCCCGGGGCUUAACCCCGGGUCUGCAGUCGAUACGGGCAGGCUAGAGUUCGGUAGGGGAGAUCGGAAUUCCUGGUGUAGCGGUGAAAUGCGCAGAUAUCAGGAGGAACACCGGUGGCGAAGGCGGAUCUCUGGGCCGAUACUGACGCUGAGGAGCGAAAGCGUGGGGAGCGAACAGGAUUAGAUACCCUGGUAGUCCACGCCGUAAACGGUGGGCACUAGGUGUGGGCAACAUUCCACGUUGUCCGUGCCGCAGCUAACGCAUUAAGUGCCCCGCCUGGGGAGUACGGCCGCAAGGCUAAAACUCAAUGAAUUGACG
rnacentral:rRNA from 1 species